rnacentral:rRNA from 1 species
UCUUGGUCAUUUAGAGGAAGUAAAAGUCGUAACAAGGUUUCCGUAGGUGAACCUGCGGAAGGAUCAUUACUGAUUUGCUUAAUUGCACCACAUGUGUUUUUUAUUGAACAAAUUUCUUUGGUGGCAGGAGCAAUCCUACCGCCAGAGGUUAUAACUAAACCAAACUUUUUAUUUACAGUCAAACUUGAUUUAUUAUUACAAUAGUCAAAACUUUCAACAACGGAUCUCUUGGUUCUCGCAUCGAUGAAGAACGCAGCGAAAUGCGAUACGUAAUAUGAAUUGCAGAUAUUCGUGAAUCAUCGAAUCUUUGAACGCACAUUGCGCCCUUUGGUAUUCCAAAGGGCAUGCCUGUUUGAGCGUUAUUUCUCCUUCAAACCCCCGGGUUUGGUGUUGAGCAAUACGCUAGGUUUGUUUGAAAGAAUUUAACGUGGAAACUUAUUUUAAGCGACUUAGGUUUAUCCAAAACGCUUAUUUUGCUAGUGGCCACCACAAUUUAUUUCAUAACUUUGACCUCAAAUCAGGUAGGACUACCCGCUGAACUUAAGCAUAUCAAUAAGCGGAGGA